CCUUCACCGAGCCGGACGCGCCGCCGCGCGCACGCACGCACCAGGGAGCUUGAGUCCGAGCUCAAUCCAUCGCGCCAAGCCACCCCGUGGACCCCUGGGAAACCGCACGCGAGCCAAGACCCCGGAAAACCCUACCGCAGCCUUUCUGAUCCCUUCCGUCGUCCGUGCGUCUCUACAGGGCGAUUCAGAUCUCGCCGUGGAGCUCGAGCCACCGUCGUCUUCUCCGCUCGUUUCAGUCACCAUCGCCGAGCCGAAGCACCAGAGCACGCAGGAGUUCGCGCCGUCGCCGUUUAACCUCACCAUCCCAACCACCGACGAAUGCCGCAUCCGUCCGUCCCCUCACCUUCGCCGGAGCACCACCGGAGAGCCGCCGCCGCCUACGCCCGACGCUGCCGCCGCCGUUUUCUCCAUUUUGCUGAUUGUCCGGAGUGUGACGCGAGCUAUUGUCAGGAGUGUGACUUUCUGAACCAGAACCAAGG